rnacentral:rRNA from 1 species
AAGAUGAACAUUGCAAAGAGUGGCGAACGGGUGAGUAACACGUGGGAAACCUACCGCUUAGCGGGGGAUAACACUUGGAAACAAGUGCUAAUACCGCAUAAUACUGAUAACCGCAUGGUUGUUAUUUAAAAGAUGGUUCUGCUAUCACUAAGAGAUGGUCCCGCGGUGCAUUAGCUAGUUGGUAAGGUAAUGGCUUACCAAGGCGAUGAUGCAUAGCCGAGUUGAGAGACUGAUCGGCCACAAUGGGACUGAGACACGGCCCAUACUCC